rnacentral:rRNA from 1 species
UACGUAGGGUGCAAGCGUUGUCCGGAAUUAUUGGGCGUAAAGAGCUCGUAGGCGGUCUGUUACGUCGGCUGUGAAAACCUGGGGCUCAACCCCGGGCCUGCAGCCGAUACGGGCAGACUAGAAUUCGGUAGGGGAGACUGGAAUUCCCGGUGUAGCGGUGAAAUGCGCAGAUAUCGGGAGGAACACCGGUGGCGAAGGCGGUUCUCUGGGCCUUACCUGACGCUGAGGAGCGAAAGCGUGGGGAGCGAACAGG